UACCGAGUGGCGGACGGGUGAGUAACGCGUGGGUAACCUGCCUCAUACAGGGGGAUAACGGUUAGAAAUGACUGCUAAUACCGCAUAAGCGCACAGUACCGCAUGGUACAGUGUGAAAAACUCCGGUGGUAUGAGAUGGACCCGCGUCUGAUUAGCUAGUUGGUGGGGUAACGGCCCACCAAGGCAACGAUCAGUAGCCGACCUGAGAGGGUGACCGGCCACAUUGGGACUGAGACACGGCCCAGACUCCUACGGGAGGCAGCAGUA
rnacentral:rRNA from 1 species